GUGCUGGGAACAAGGAGCAGCCCUGCUGAGGUGGGGAGGGGAAGGGUGGUGACAUUCUAAAGGUGAUUCCACUCGGUAGAAACCAACACAUCCCUGUGAGGCAAUAAAAAGCAAGGACAGGGAAAAGUUUAGAUGGCUUGGAGUGGAUUAUGGGGAAACAAAACCCAUUAAAACACUGUCAGCUGUUUGGGUUUCCUUUACAUCAAACUGUAUUUGAGUACUGGCUGUCUAAAUCACUUCAGAAGAUGUAAAAACAGUUGUCUUGGAGGAGCUGUGUCUGUUCAGGAGGAGUUUGGAGGAGAUCAGGAAGGAAAAGUGUCCUGGCUGAGGUCACUGUGGCCCUGCUGUGCUUCCAGCUGAGGUUCCAUUGCCUUUUCCACAGGUGGAUGGAAGGAUUUUUUACAUGGGUUUGCUACGUGACAUCUUUUUAACAGGGAAGUUGCUGGCAAGUGUUUUCCCUGUGGAAUCCACAUCUGGAUGGGUGAGGAAGGAAAGGACAAAGGAAAAACUUCUAUCCUUCUCUCUCAGCAGUCACAGAAAACCAAUUGUGUCCAGACAAGUGGACUUUGAGCUGGUGUUUUGUCACAGGAGGAGCUGACUGUAAGUGGAGCUGCCAAAUUUCUCAGAAUUCUUUGUGGGUAAUGUAAAUAGAUUUCUUGUGAGUAAUGGUUUGGUUUCCUUGUCUCUUCGUGCUUCCUGAGAAAAAUGUUUUGCUGAAAACACAUUGUAUUAGGAAUUUUUUUUGUGUUUGCCCCUGCUGUCACCCCCUGCUCCCCUGGUGACUGGGAAGGAGCAGUGCCUUCACCUCUCUCAUCUCCAGCUGCUCUCAAACCAAGGUGCAGCCCAAAGCUGGGGAAGGAUUGCUUUUGGAUGGGUUUUACAACCCCCUGUUUGUUUUAUUUGUUUUAACCCCAAUUUUAAUUGCCAGUGUUGUUCCAUUUUCCCUGGGACUGCAGCUUUCACCCCACAGCCAUCAGCUCUGGCUCCAACAUAUGUGAAAUGUAUCAGUGCAGUUCUGUGCUAGCCCUUCUGGACAUGGGAAAAUAAUGUUCUUGCUGGAUCCUUCCAAAUGCUUCUGUUCCUUCCCCCACCCUUUCCUGUAUCAUGCCUUGGGUAUUUGUCCUUCAGGAGUGACUGUCAUUUCCUGGUGUCUUCACAAUAAAAGAAUUUCUUGCCAAACGUGGCCGAGACAGAAUUCCUGAAAACCAGCACCUCAAGUUACCUGUGGAGCAGCAAAUUGCUUUUCCAUAACCAUCCUCACAAAGCAAGUCAGAUGUUCCACUCCAAGCCUUCUUGUCUUUCCCUGCUUUUUCCUGGGAACAGCUUUUGUUGGGGUUUUGUGUUUAUUCCUGCAGUAAUGUUGGUCCUGUCCUUGUCACCUCCUGCCCCAGAGCAGAACCUGGCUGCAAAGAGGGGCAGAGGACACACUGGUCUCAAUCCCUGUGACAGGAGCAGAGAGAACAUUUCCAUUUUCCUUAUUGCCACAGCACUGAGCCACUCAGUAAAAACACUGAUCUUGUCCAGGAUUUUAUUUUUUAUUUUAUUUUUUUAUAAAUGGGAGAUUUUAUUCACACUGGGGUUGGUGCUGAAAAGCUCUUAAAGACUCAUCCUCUUUCCAGCAGAUUUUUUUUCUUCCUUUUAAUUCUGUUUUAAUCUGUUUCAUAGUAAAUAAGAUGCUCCCACCUUGUAAUUAGUGGCAGUGCCCUGUGAUUUAUCAUUUAUUAUUAGCAAUAAAUGACAGCUGAGCCAGAUCCUGCAGGGUUUAUUCCAAUCAUCCCUUAGAGAGCUGCUGGAAUGAGAAUGGAGGAAAUAAUCUGCAGGUUUAUAUAAUAAUCUGCACACCUUGGUCAGUGCA